GGUCAGGUGGCUGAGUAGAGUGGUAGGCUGUAAACCUAUUUAUGGGGAAGUAUGCCCCCCUGGUCG
rnacentral:tRNA from 1 species